rnacentral:rRNA from 1 species
GCUUAACCUCCGGGAGGGCGCUUACCACUUUGUGAUUCAUGACUGGGGUGAAGUCGUAACAAGGUAACCGUAGGGGAACCUGCGGUUGGAUCACCUCCUUACCU